rnacentral:rRNA from 7 species
UUAAAUUGAAGAGUUUGAUCAUGGCUCAGAUUGAACGCUGGCGGCAGGCCUAACACAUGCAAGUCGAACGGUAACAGGAAGCAGCUUGCUGCUUUGCUGACGAGUGGCGGACGGGUGAGUAAUGUCUGGGAAACUGCCUGAUGGAGGGGGAUA